rnacentral:tRNA from 2 species
UCCCCGAUAGCUCAACGGUAGAGCGAGCGGCUGUUAACCGCUAGGUUCAAGGUUCGAAUCCUUGUCGGGGAG